CCGCCUGUCGUUCAAUGGUUAGAGCCGGCCGCUCACAACGGUCUGGUUGCAGGUUCGAGUCCUGCCGGGCCCA
rnacentral:tRNA from 1 species